rnacentral:rRNA from 1 species
GAUGAACGCUGGCGGCGUGCCUAAUACAUGCAAGUCGAGCGAACGGACGAGAAGCUUGCUUCUCUGAUGUUAGCGGCGGACGGGUGAGUAACACGUGAUAACCUACCUAUAAGACUGGGAUAACUUCGGGAAACCGUAGCUAAUACCGGAUAAUAUUUUGAACCGCAUGGUUCAAAAGUGAAAGACGGUCUUGCUGUCACUUAUAGAUGGAUCCGCGCUGCAUUAGCUAGUUGGUAAGGUAACGGCUUACCAAGGCAACGAUGCAUAGCCGACCUGAGAGGGUGAUCGGCCACACUGGAACUGAGACACGGUCCAGACUCCUACGGGAGGCAGCAGUAGGGAAUCUUCCGCAAUGGGCGAAAGCCUGACGGAGCAACGCCGCGUGAGUGAUGAAGGUCUUCGGAUCGUAAAACUCUGUUAUUAGGGAAGAACAUAUGUGUAAGUAACUGUGCACAUCUUGACGGUACCUAAUCAGAAAGCCACGGCUAACUACGUG